UGUUAAUAUUCCUGUACUUCUGGUUACUGCGAUGGAGGGACGGAGAAGGCUAGGCCAGCUUGGCGUUGGUUGUCCAAGUUUAAGGUGGUAGGCUGAAAUCUUAGGUAAAUCCGGGGUUUCAAGGCCGAGAGCUGAUGACGAGUCGUCUUUUAGAUGACGAAGUGGUUGAUGCCAUGCUUCCAAGAAAAGCUUCUAAGCUUCAGGUAACCAGGAACCGUACCCCAAACCGACACAGGUGGUCGGGUAGAGAAUACCAAGGCGCUUGAGAGAACUCGGGUGAAGGAACUAGGCAAAAUGGCACCGUAACUUCGGGAGAAGGUGCGCCGGCUAGGGUGAAGGAUUUACCCCGUAAGCUCUGGCUGGUCGAAGAUACCAGGCCGCUGCGACUGUUUAUUAAAAACACAGCACUCUGCAAACACGAAAGUGGACGUAUAGGGUGUGACGCCUGCCCGGUGCCGGAAGGUUAAUUGAUGGGGUUAGCGCAAGCGAAGCUCUUGAUCGAAGCCCCGGUAAACGGCGGCCGUAACUAUAACGGUCCUAAGGUAGCGAAAUUCCUUGUCGGGUAAGUUCCGACCUGCACGAAUGGCGUAACGAUGGCGGCGCUGUCUCCACCCGAGACUCAGUGAAAUUGAAAUCGCUGUGAAGAUGCAGUGUAUCCGCGGCUAGACGGAAAGACCCCGUGAACCUUUACUGUAGCUUUGCACUGGACUUUGAGCCUGCUCGUGUAGGAUAGGUGGGAGGCUUUGAAGCGUGGACGCCAGUUCGCGUGGAGCCAUCCUUGAAAUACCACCCUGGCAUGCUUGAGGUUCUAACUCUGGUCCGUAAUCCGGAUCGAGGACAGUGUAUGGUGGGCAGUUUGACUGGGGCGGUCUCCUCCUAAAGAGUAACGGAGGAGUACGAAGGUGCGCUCAGACCGGUCGGAAAUCGGUCGCAGAGUAUAAAGGCAAAAGCGCGCUUGACUGCGAGACAGACACGUCGAGCAGGUACGAAAGUAGGUCUUAGUGAUCCGGUGGUUCUGUAUGGAAGGGCCAUCGCUCAACGGAUAAAAGGUACUCCGGGGAUAACAGGCUGAUACCGCCCAAGAGUUCAUAUCGACGGCGGUGUUUGGCACCUCGAUGUCGGCUCAUCACAUCCUGGGGCUGAAGCCGGUCCCAAGGGUAUGGCUGUUCGCCAUUUAAAGUGGUACGCGAGCUGGGUUUAGAACGUCGUGAGACAGUUCGGUCCCUAUCUGCCGUGGACGUUUGAGAUUUGAGAGGGGCUGCUCCUAGUACGAGAGGACCGGAGUGGACGAACCUCUGGUGUUCCGGUUGUCACGCCAGUGGCAUUGCCGGGUAGCUAUGUUCGGAAAAGAUAACCGCUGAAAGCAUCUAAGCGGGAAACUUGCCUCAAGAUGAGAUCUCACUGGGAACUUGAUUCCCCUGAAGGGCCGUCGAAGACUACGACGUUGAUAGGCUGGGUGUGUAAGCGUUGUGAGGCGUUGAGCUAACCAGUACUAAUUGCCCGUGAGGCUUGACC
rnacentral:rRNA from 1 species